GGUGGUUCUAGAGUGACGUACCCUGGAACCAGAGAGGAGGGAGUCUAAUUCCAGGGUGCGUCACCCAAGAACCUCC
rfam:Myotis davidii contig184385, whole genome shotgun sequence.